rnacentral:rRNA from 1 species
UACGUAGGGUGCGAGCGUUAAUCGGAAUUACUGGGCGUAAAGCGUGCGCAGGCGGUUCGUUAAGUCAGAUGUGAAAGCCCCCGAGCUCAACUUGGGAACUGCAUUUGAAACUGGCGGGCUGGAGUGUGGCAGAGGGGGGUGGAAUUCCACGUGUAGCAGUGAAAUGCGUAGAGAUGUGGAGGAACACCGAUGGCGAAGGCAGCCCCCUGGGCCAACACUGACGCUCAGGCACGAAAGCGUGGGGAGCAAACAGG